UGGUCGGUGAUGAGGGGACACUGCGCAAUCUGAGUCCUGGAGGCGCUGAUGGCGAGUGCUCGGACUGAGGCCG